rnacentral:lncRNA from 1 species
AACGCAGAGGUGGAGGUGCUGUGUGUGGAGGCUGUGACUGCUGCCGGCAGCGUUGUGUUUAACGAGUUCUCUUUGGUAGGACGAUUCUUAACUGAUCGACAACUUAAACUUCCCAGCCAUGCGCAACACUCUGUCCACCCUGUGGAGGCCGGUGCGAGGGAUUCAUAUCUGAAAACUUGGUCUGAAACGGUUUCUGUUUCAAUUUUUCCAUCAAAUUGAUCUUGAUCGUGCUAUUGAG